CGCAGCCGCGGUAAUUCCAGCUCCAAUAGCGUAUAUUAAAGUUGUUGCAGUUAAAAAGCUCGUAGUUGAAUUUCGGGAUCAAUAUGUUGGUCGUGCCUUGGUACGUACUGGCAUUAUUGGUUUCUACCUUCUGAAGAACCUCGAUGUCAUUAAUUUGGUGUCUUGGGGAAUCAGGACUGUUACUUUGAAAAAAUUAGAGUGUUUAAAGCAGGCUCGCGCUUGAAUACAUUAGCAUGGAAUAAUGAAAUAGGACGUUUGAUUCUAUUUUGUUGGUUUCUAGGAUCGACGUAAUGAUUAAUAGGGAUAGUUGGGGGCAUUAGUAUUCAAUUGUCAGAGGUGAAAUUCUUGGAUUUAUUGAAGACUAACUACUGCGAAAGCAUUUGCCAAGGAUGUUUUCAUUAAUCAAGAACGAAAGUUAGGGGGUCGAAGACGAUCAGAUACCGUCGUAGUCUUAACCAUAAACUAUGCCGACUAGGGAUCGGAUGAUGUUAAUUUUUUAAUGACUCAUUCGGCGCCUUAC
rnacentral:misc_RNA from 1 species